rnacentral:rRNA from 1 species
UACGUAGGGUGCAAGCGUUGUCCGGAAUUAUUGGGCGUAAAGCGCGCGCAGGCGGUCCUUUAAGUCUGAUGUGAAAGCCCACGGCUCAACCGUGGAGGGUCAUUGGAAACUGGGGACUUGAGUGCAGAAGAGAAGAGCGGAAUUCCACGUGUAGCGGUGAAAUGCGUAGAGAUGUGGAGGAACACCAGUGGCGAAGGCGACUCUUUGGUCUGUAACUGACGCUGAGGCGCGAAAGCGUGGGGAGCAAACAGG